UACGUAGGGCGCAAGCGUUGUCCGGAAUUAUUGGGCGUAAAGAGCUCGUAGGCGGCUUGUCGCGUCGGUUGUGAAAGCCCGGGGCUUAACCCCGGGUCUGCAGUCGAUACGGGCAGGCUAGAGUUCGGUAGGGGAGAUCGGAAUUCCUGGUGUAGCGGUGAAAUGCGCAGAUAUCAGGAGGAACACCGGUGGCGAAGGCGGAUCUCUGGGCCGAUACUGACGCUGAGGAGCGAAAGUGUGGGGAGCGAACAGG
rnacentral:rRNA from 1 species